rnacentral:lncRNA from 1 species
AAAUCAUCGUUACCAGACUCUUACAAAUCGGUUGUUGGAUCUACUAAGUUAGCAAAAGCGGCUAUUCUUUUUUUUUGGAAAAUCCAAAAUAGACUUAUGACUGAAUACAACUGACAACCAUGGCCUUCUGACUUGUGUUGCAGAUUUGAUUGGACCAACGUUGCUACUCCUGAGGCAAGACAUUCACCAAAACAUCCAGCUAAUUCAUCUGUACGAACCUGGUAAUUACCCAGCAGCAUAUAUUUUAUGUACAUAUUAUCUUUGUUUAAUGAUGCAUCAUUGUUACAGCAUAGAUAUUAUAGUAAAUCCACAGUACUCCAAUUACCAGGUUCCACAGUACUCCAAUUUCUUUUGCCAUUUUUUACUUGUGCACCAAUAUUAUAGUAAAUCCACGCUGGCCUGUCGUACAUUCAUAGUCAGAUUUCAAUACUUACAUUCUGUGGUUUUACUACUGCAAUGCAUGAAAAAAACUUACACUACUUUCACCUGGUUAUAGCAUGGAAGCUCCGUUUCAAUGCUACAUUAGGUUGCAAAAUAUCUAUACAAUUUACCACUUCUACAUAUUCAUGUCGUCUCUGCAUUUUUUUGUUCACUGCAUAUAUCAUGUGGUAAGUUAACCAUAUAUUUUAAUAUUUAUUGGAUAUAGACUGGAAGUUCCAUCAAAGGGUGUUUGUCCUGCUGCAGUUUUGACAGAUAUAUUAGGUUAUGCAAAUAUCCAUGUUACAUUGUUUCAUGAAUAAUAAUAUCUUUCUUUCUAAAAAACAGGACAUGAAGAAAAUUCAGGGCAGAUUAAAAUCUUUCGGGAUCCGCACCACACAAGGCGAAUGGACUUUUGAUGUUAGCGCGGUCACCGGGGCAGCCGAUGCACAGCCAGUUGCAGGAGCUGAUGCACAAC